rnacentral:rRNA from 1 species
GACGAACGCUGGCGGCGUGCCUAAUACAUGCAAGUCGAACGCUGAAGGAGGAGCUUGCUUCUCUGGAUGAGUUGCGAACGGGUGAGUAACGCGUAGGUAACCUGCCUGGUAGCGGGGGAUAACUAUUGGAAACGAUAGCUAAUACCGCAUAAUAGCAGUUGUUGCAUGACAACUUUUGGAAAGCUGCAUUUCAACUACUACCAGAUGGGCCUGCGUUGUAUUAGCUAGAUGGUGGGGUAACGGCUCACCAAGGCGACGAUACAUAGACGACCUGCGAGGGUGAUCGGCCACACUGGGACUGAGGCACGGCCCAGAAUCCUACGGGAGGGAGCAGUAGGGGAACUUUGGAAAUGGGCGGAAGUCUGACCGCACAACGGCGGGGGAGGGAAGGAAGGUCUCGGGUCGGAAAAGUCUGUUGUGAGGGAAGAACGAGUGUGAGGGUAGAAAGUUCACGUUGUGACGGUAUCUAACGAGAAAGCGACGGCUAACUACGUG